rnacentral:rRNA from 1 species
CGGGACGGGUGAGUAAUGUCUGGGAAACUGCCUGAUGGAGGGGGAUAACUGCUGGAAACGGUAGCUAAUACCGCAUAACGUCGCAAGACCAAAGAGGGGGACCUUCGGGCCUCUUGCCGUCGGAUGUGCCCAGAUGGGAUUAGCUAGUAGGUGGGGUAACGGCUCACCUAGGCGACGAUCCCUAGCUGGUCUGAGAGGAUGACCAGCCACACUGGAACUGAGACACGGUCCAG